rnacentral:rRNA from 1 species
UACGUAGGGGGCAAGCGUUGUCCGGAUUUAUUGGGUGUAAAGAGCGUGUAGGCGGCUAGGUAGGUCCGUUGUGAAAACUCGAGGCUCAACCUCGAGACGUCGAUGGAAACCAUCUAGCUAGAGUCCGGAAGAGGAGAGUGGAAUUCCGUGGUGUAGCGGUGAAAUGCGCAGAUAUCAGGAGGAACACCGAUGGCGAAGGCAGGUCUCUGGGCAUUAACUGACGCUGAGGAGCGAAAGCAUGGGGAGCGAACAGG